GCUCUUUCGCUUCUACCUCGGC
rnacentral:miRNA from 1 species